rnacentral:lncRNA from 1 species
GAGUAUGAAAAUGGCCAGUCUGUUUUCAGAUCAUGUAAUCUUUUUAAAAUAGGUAAGCAUUUCUUUUAGCAAUAGAUAUAUUUCCCUGAAAAGCAUACACAUAAAUGAAACUGUUUUAGUUGUACCUAGAAAAGAUAGGCAUUUGGGGCAGAUAACUUAAGGAAGGAUUAUUUAUUUAACUUUAAAUGAUCUUUCUUUAUCUGUUUGUUAUUUCACAUUAUCAUAAAUUGAGUUUGCCUAAAAUAGGGAAAACCUAGGCUAUAGAUGUUUGAUAACUAAUAAAUAAUUUCUGUGCAAGGGACUUAUCUCUUUAUUG